rnacentral:lncRNA from 1 species
GCCAACUGAGUGACUAUCAAAGGUGUGAACUUUGAGAGAUUAUUAGGUUGAUUUCCUAACCUUUAACUUGUUUGUUGUUUUUAUUUUUGUUUUUGUUUUUUCUUAGCAUUUAUUUUGAUAGGUGCAAUGGUGGAUGGAGGUGAGAUGCCUAGUUGGUCUAGUUCUUUAAUGGAAAGGGUUAUUGAUACUAUGGAUAGCUGAUUGGGAUCUUUUAAAGGAAGAAUGGAAAUAAUGGAAGGAAAUGUAGAAGGGGUGGAAGGAUCUCUCUCAAGGAGGAUGGACAAUAUGAUAGAUCAUCUAAGCUUCCCUACCUCCACCCUUCCUAAUCCACCAAAUUGUUAAGCUCUCUUGGGUCAACAUGCUCCAAAUGAACUUCAAGGUAACAAAGCUAACUCUUGCACUAUAGUAAAUAGGAUAGUAGCCAACUAAGUGUUAAUGAUAGCUUAUUUUGAGGUAAGCCUAAUACCUCUUUACUUCAUAAUGAUAAUUUAUAACUUGAGAGUGUGGAUACACUAGUUGAUGCUAAUGAUGACAAAAUCAACUCUACUAGCAAGAUCAAUUUGUGUCCACCUAGUGUUGAAGCCAUUGUGACGAGCGAUAGAGCAUUUUCUUGUGAAAAUCAUGAGAACCAACUUUUGUGUGAACCUAGCGCAUCACUUGGAAAUGUUUGUAAAGUGUUUUAAGGACCUCAAGUGAAUGGCAAUAUUGAAAAUAUUGGUCGAUUGAAU